rnacentral:rRNA from 1 species
GGACGGCUCAGUAACACGUCGGUAACCUACCCUCGGGAGGGGGAUAACCCCGGGAAACUGGGGCUAAUUCCCCAUAGGCCUGAGGUACUGGAAGGUCCUCAGGCCGAAAGGGACUUAUGUCCGCCCGAGGAUGGGCCGGCGGCCGAUUAGGUAGUUGGUGGGGUAAUGGCCCACCAAGCCGAAGAUCGGUACGGGCUGUGAGAGCAGGAGCCCGGAGAUGGACACUGAGACACGGGUCCAGGCCCUACGGGGCGCAGCAGGCGCGAAACCUCCGCAAUGCGGGAAACCGCGACGGGGGGACCCCGAGUGCCGUGGCAACGCCACGGCUUUUCCGGAGUGUAAAAAGCUCCGGGAAUAAGGGCUGGGCAAGGCCGGUGGCAGCCGCCGCGGUAAUACCGGCGGCCCGAGUGGUGGCCGCUAUUAUUGGGCCUAAAGCGUCCGUAGCCGGGCCCGUAAGUCCCUGGCGAAAUCCCACGGCUCAACCGUGGGGCUUGCUGGGGAUACUGCGGGUCUUGGGACCGGGAGAGGCGGGGGGUACCCCUGGGGUAGGGGUGAAAUCCUAUAAUCCCAGGGGGACCGCCAGUGGCGAAGGCGCCCCGC